rfam:Clostridium sp. 7_2_43FAA genomic scaffold supercont2.3, whole genome shotgun sequence.
UAGUCCUUUAAAUUUAGUCCAGAGAGACUAAUAAGGUCGGAUAUAAUACGGCAGAGAUAAAUUAGAUAAUAUAGAUUUGAUUUAUAUAUCUAAUUUUAAGUGUUAACGACCUUUCUAAAUAAUAGAGAGGUCGUUUUUUAU